rnacentral:rRNA from 1 species
GACGAACGCUGGCGGCGUGCUUAACACAUGCAAGUCGAGCGGUAAGGCCCUUUCGGGGGUACACGAGCGGCGAACGGGUGAGUAACACGUGGGUGACCUGCCCUUAGCUCUGGGAUAAGCCUGGGAAACUGGGUCUAAUACCGGAUAUGACUCCAUGACGCAUGUUGUGGGGUGGAAAGCCUUGUGCGGCUAGGGAUGGGCCUGCGGCCUAUCAGCUUGUUGGUGGGGUGAUGGCCUACCAAGGCGACGACGGGUAGCCGGCCUGAGAGGGCGACCGGCCACACUGGGACUGAGACACGGCCCAGACUCCUACGGGAGGCAGCAGUGGGGAAUCUUGCGCAAUGGGCGAAAGCCUGACGCAGCGACGCCGCGUGGGGAUGACGGCCUCGGUUGUAACGUACUUCUA